AAUUAAGCUCACCCAAAGUCAACGGAGCGCCAGCUACGUGUUAUGGGCAGCGAAAGUACCAGAGCCAAAGAGUUCCUCUGAUCGCCUGGCCGGAGCACAUUUGUGAUCUCCUAUACCUU
rnacentral:snoRNA from 1 species